rnacentral:pre_miRNA from 1 species
UGCGGCGUUUGAAUGCUCUCCCCCUGCAGCGGAGAACAUUCAACCGCCGCACA